GCCGAGCUGGCGCUGCGCAGCCGCGGGGCGGCCGUCGCGCAUGCGGGGCUCACAAGGCUGCGGCCGGAGCCGCUGCCACUCCCGGGAGCAUGAAGGACCGAACCCAGGAGCUCCGCACGGCCAAGGACAGCGACGAUGAUGAUGACGUCGCCGUCACCGUGGACCGAGACCGCUUCAUGGAUGAGUUCUUCGAGCAGGUGGAGGAGAUUCGAGGCUUCAUUGACAAGAUCGCAGAGAACGUGGAGGAGGUGAAGCGGAAGCACAGCGCCAUUCUGGCCUCCCCCAACCCCGAUGAGAAGACGAAGGAGGAGCUGGAAGAACUCAUGUCGGACAUAAAGAAGACAGCGAACAAAGUCCGAUCCAAGUUAAAGAGCAUCGAGCAGUCCAUCGAGCAGGAGGAAGGCCUGAACCGCUCCUCCGCUGACCUGAGGAUCCGGAAGACACAGCACUCCACGCUAUCCAGAAAGUUUGUGGAGGUCAUGUCGGAGUACAACGCCACACAGUCCGACUACCGCGAGCGCUGCAAGGGCCGCAUCCAGAGGCAACUGGAGAUCACUGGCAGGACCACAACCAGUGAGGAGCUGGAGGACAUGCUGGAGAGUGGGAACCCGGCCAUCUUUGCCUCUGGUCCAGGGGCUCCUCCUCUUAUCCUUGGGCCCUUUCCCCUCCUGGAGGACAUUUGGCCAUCACUGCGUUCACGUGAAGCCGAGCAGGGGUGCUCCCUGAAGGAGGUGGCACACAGAUGUUCGAGAUCAUCAUGGACUCCAGCAUCUCGAAGCAGGCUCUGAGCGAGAUUGAGACGCGGCACAGCGAGAUCAUUAAGCUGGAGAACAGCAUCCGCGAGCUGCAUGAUAUGUUCAUGGACAUGGCCAUGCUCGUGGAGAGCCAGCCUCAGGAGGCUUUCCUGAAGUCCUGCCCCGAGCCCCGACCCAACCCUGAGGAGGGGGCCCUCUGGAGCUCGGGUGCCCCCGGCCCCGCAGGGGGAAAUGAUUGACAGGAUCGAGUACAAUGUGGAGCAUGCGGUGGACUACGUGGAGAGGGCUGUGUCUGACACCAAGAAGGCCGUCAAGUACCAAAGCAAGGCACGCCGGAAGAAAAUCAUGAUCAUCAUCUGCUGUGUGAUCCUGGGCAUCGUCAUCGCCUCCACGGUUGGGGGCAUCUUCGCCUAGAAGCCACCCAACUGCCACUCCACUCUGGGUGGGCCACUCCAAGGAGGCCCUGGCUGCUGCCGCCUGGCUGGGCUGCCCUCCCCACCCCUGCCUCUGGCUCAGAGCACCCUCCCUCCUAGCCCCCAUGCUCCCUUGUCUGCCAUGGGUCCUCCGUCCCCGCCCCGUGUCGUGUGCAUGAUCUCUGUGAGUGUGCGUCUGUACGGAAGAGGCAGAGGGAGGCAGCCAGCAGGGCGUGGCGCAGUGUGUGCAGCGAGGGGCAGACCCAGGCAGGGCCGCCAGGGUGACACAGGCCACCCUUCCUUGCCUUUAGUGACUCGGUGGCUCCAAGGGUCCACUCUUCCCUGGGGACCUAACCUUGCCUCCAACUCACCUGCCCUGUCCUCUGGCCUCUCCAGCUGUCCCCACAAGCAGGGCCCCGAGGGGUGGGGACCAGCUGGCCACAUGGUGCUGCUUUUCAGGUUAGGGGAGAGGUGGCCCUGAGGGAUAGCCCAGCUCCGAGCCUCAGUUGUUGAUCACUGCCAGGGAGGCUCAGGCUGCCGUGGCUCCAGGCUCCCUCCCCUGCCGAGGGGCAAAGUCCAUCGGGUCCGGGGUCUCCGCUUCCCUUCCCACAUUCCUCCAGCCCCAGGAGCAACCCCUUGGGCUGGGCCUGACCCAAGGUGUCCCUCUGGAAGCCACCCCAGCAGCUAGGGAGGCAGAGCAGGCUGCGGUCAGGCCCUCGAGCCAGCGCUUCAUGUUUGGAAUGGUGGCCCCUGCUGUCUUGCGCUCUGGGAAGUCAGAUGUCACUUCAAGCCGCAGUCUCAUCCAGCCCUUGCCGUUCCCCAUCAAUGUACCAUGUGGGUGUCAGGUGUCCCGGAUGCAGUAUUCAGCAGCCAGCCGGAGAGGGCUACCUCCUCCUCCUCACCACCUUGGGGCUUCUCAUGGGAAAUGUGCCCCCGCCCCAGGACCCCCUCCCUCGUGGACAGGCAGGGAGAUGCAUGCGAGUGCAUGCAGCAGGGGAUGGGGCUGUGUCCAUGUGCCCCGCCCUCCCUCGGCUUUACUCCUGCCCAGUGACUGUGACCACUGUCCGUGUUGCCUUCUACAGCGAUUCCCCUGAACCCCCCUUCACCAAAGGUCUUGGUACAACCAGCUGCCCAUUUUGUGAAAUUUUUAUGUAGAAUAAACAUUUGUAUCUGUA